rnacentral:rRNA from 1 species
CCCCAGUAACGGCGAGUGAAGCGGCAACAGCUCAAAUUUGAAAUCUGGCCCCCCCCCCCGGGGGGGCCCGAGUUGUAAUUUGCAGAGGAUGCUUUGGGCGAGGCGCCUUCCGAGUUCCCUGGAACGGGACGCCACAGAGGGUGAGAGCCCCGUCUGGUCGGACGCCGAGCCUCUGUAAAGCUCCUUCGACGAGUCGAGUAGUUUGGGAAUGCUGCUCAAAAUGGGAGGUAUAUGUCUUCUAAAGCUAAAUACCGGCCAGAGACCGAUAGCGCACAAGUAGAGUGAUCGAAAGAUGAAAAGCACCUUGAAAAGGGGGUUAAACAGUACGUGAAAUUGUUGAAAGGGAAGCGCUCGUGACCAGACUUGGGGCGGGCGGAUCAGCCGGCGUUCUCGCCGGCGCACUCCGCCCGUCCCAGGCCAGCAUCAGUUCGCGCCGGGGGACAAAGGCGGCGGGAACGUGGCUCCCCAGGGAGUGUUAUAGCCCGCCGCGCCAUGCCCCGGGGGCGGACUGAGGGCCGCGCAUCACUGCAAGGAUGCUGGCGUAAUGGUCACCAGCGACCCGUCUUGAAACACGGGCCAAGGAGUCGUCCUCGUAUGCGAGUGUUCGGGUGUCAAACCCCUACGCGGAAUGAAAGUGAACGUGGGUGAGAGCUUCGGCGCAUCAUCGACCGAUCCUGAUGUUCUCGGAUGGAUUUGAGUAGGAGCAUACGGGGCCGGACCCGAAAGAAGGUGAACUAUGCCUGUGUAGGGUGAAGCCAGAGGAAACUCUGGUGGAGGCUCGCAGCGGUUCUGACGUGCAAAUCGAUCGUCAAACAUGGGCAUGGGGGCGAAAGACU